rnacentral:rRNA from 1 species
AGUGAACGCUGGCGGUAGGCCUGACACAUGCAAGUCGAACGGCAGCACAGUAAGAGCUUGCUCUUACGGGUGGCGAGUGGCGGACGGGUGAGGAAUACAUCGGAAUCUACUUUUUCGUGGGGGAUAACGUAGGGAAACUUACGCUAAUACCGCAUACGACCUACGGGUGAAAGCAGGGGAUCUUCGGACCUUGCGCGAUUGAAUGAGCCGAUGUCGGAUUAGCUAGUUGGCGGGGUAAAGGCCCACCAAGGCGGCGAUCCGUAGCUGGUCUGAGAGGAUGAUCAGCCACACUGGAACUGAGACACGGUCCAGACUCCUACGGGAGGCAGCAGUGGGGAAUAUUGGACAAUGGGCGCAAGCCUGAUCCAGCCAUACCGCGUGGGUGAAGAAGGCCUUCGGGUUGUAAAGCCCUUUUGUUGGGAAAGAAAAGCAGCAGGUUAAUACCCCGCUGUUCUGACGGUACCCAAAGAAUAAGCACCGGCUAACUUCGUG